rnacentral:rRNA from 1 species
AGUGAACGCUGGCGGCGUGCUUAACACAUGCAAGUCGAACGAGAACGGGUUAUAGCUUGCUAUAAUUGUCAGCUAAGUGGCGCACGGGUGAGUAAUGUAUAGGUAAUAUGCCUCUUACUAAGGGAUAACAAAUGGAAACGUUUGCUAAUACCUUAUACUCCUUAUUAACAUAAGUUAAUAAGGGAAAGAUUUAUUGGUAAGAGAUUAGCCUGUAUUGUAUCAGUUAGUUGGUGGGGUAAUGGCUUACCAAGACUAUGACACAUAACUGGUUUGAGAGGAUGAUCAGUCACACUGGAACUGAGACACGGUCCAGACUCCUACGGGAGGCAGCAGUGGGGAAUAUUGCACAAUGGACGAAAGUCUGAUGCAGCGACGCCGCGUGGAGGAUGACACAUUUCGGUGCGUAAACUCCUUUUAUAUGAGAGGAUAAUGACGGUAUUAUAUGAAUAAGCACCGGCUAACUCCGUACCAGCCGCCGCAGUAA